CCUACGGGGGGCAGCAGUGAGGAAUAUUGGUCAAUGGCCGAGAGGCUGAACCAGCCAAGUCGCGUGAGGGAAGACUGUCCUAUGGAUUGUAAACUUCUUUUGUCAGGGAGUAAAGUCAUCCACGUGUGGGUGUUGGAGAGUACCUGAAGAAUAAGCAUCGGCUAACUCCGUGCCAGCAGCCGCGGUAAUACGGAGGAUGCGAGCGUUAUCCGGAUUUAUUGGGUUUAAAGGGUGCUUGGGCGGGUUAUUAAGUCAGUGGUAAAAUCUUGGAGCUCAACGGCAGAAUGCCGUUGAAACUGUUAGUCUUGAGUACACUAGAGGUAGGCGGAAUGCGUGGUGUAGCGGUGAAAUGCAUAGAUAUCACGCAGAACUCCGAUUGCGAAGGCAGCAUACCG
rnacentral:rRNA from 1 species